rnacentral:sRNA from 1 species
AGUCUACAAAACCCCACAUCCCCUGAGAAUUCUCUCGCCUGCCUUAGGCACUUAGGCUCCGGGAGAUUGCAAAUAACCUGCUUUCUUUCUGUUCCCGGGCUGCGUUCGGACUCCUGUCAGAUAGUAAAUCCUAAGUGGCGUCGGACCCCUGUCAGAGAGUAAAUCUCAAGUAAGGUACCUGCCAUCGGCAGAUGGGAGCUUUCUUCUUGGACACCUAAUACCCACAGUCCUCCAGGCUCCGGUAGACUGCAAAUGACCUGCUUUCUUUCUGUUCCCGGGCUGCGUUUGGACCCCUGUCGGAUAGUAAAUCCCAAGUAAGGCUCCGGUAGACUGCAAAUGACCUGCUUUCUUUCUGUUCCCGGGCUGCGUUUGGACCCCUGUCGGACAGUAAAUCCCAAGUAAGGUACCUGCCCUCGGCAGAUUUGAGCUUUCUUCUUGGACACCUAAUACCCACAGUCCUCCAGGAAUGGAACAGAUAAGAAGAUACUGAAAUUGGACGGUGCUGCCGUGCGGCUGCCGCAGGACACCUUUAAUAUCCCUGUUUCUCAGGCUGUAGAUGAAGGGGUUCAGCAUGGAGGUGAUCACCGUGUACAUCACUGAGGCCACUGCAGCCUUUCUCGGGGAAGAUGACACAUCUGAACUGAGGUACCCUCCAAAGCCUGUUCCGUAAAAUCAGCAAACAACUGACAGGAUAACUUCAGGAAGUGGGUAUUAAUUCUCACGGUAUAAGUGAAGACAUUAAGCACCAGAGUUUAAGUAGCUUGAUCCACUGAAAGAGAUUCAACUGUGUGGAACCUAUGCCGUGGAGAAUUGCUUUCUGCCAUUGUUAUCGUCCAGCAGUUGCCGAAUAGCUCUGACCUGAGCAAAGCAGUGAAACGCGGUGCUGUUGAGUGGGUUGCCACUGCACCUUUUUCAACUACUCUAGUCUUGUGGAGAAAAUACCCCUUCUAAAUUUUUUCUUCAUUGAAUACUCUCCCUCAGCUCCAGAGUACCAUAUAGAGUUUUCUUGUAUUUUAGAGUUACUGUUUUAUCAAAGUUUACCAGUCUUUUGUAUUACAUUUCUCCUGUCUAAAUCGACUGUGUGGUUUCUACUCAUUAUGGAUAUAGAUUGAUACAAACUCAAUAAAUAUUUUUGAAUGAAUAA